rnacentral:rRNA from 1 species
GUAGGUGGCAAGCGUUAUCCGGAAUUAUUGGGCGUAAAGCGCGCGUAGGCGGUUUUUAAGUCUGAUGUGAAAGCCCACGGCUCAACCGUGGAGGGUCAUUGGAAACUGGAAAACUUGAGUGCAGAAGAGGAAAGUGGAAUUCCAUGUGUAGCGGUGAAAUGCGCAGAGAUAUGGAGGAACACCAGUGGCGAAGGCGACUUUCUGGUCUGUAACUGACGCUGAUGUGCGAAAGCGUGGGGAUCAAACAGGAUUAGAUACCCUGGUAGUCCACGCCGUAAACGAUGAGUGCUAAGUGUUAGGGGUUUCCGCCCCUUAGUGCUGCAGCUAACGCAUUAAGCACUCCGCCUGGGGAGUACGACCGCAAGGUUG